GCUGGGUAUAGUGGUGCCUGCCUAUAAUACCAGCAGCUUGGGAAGCUGAGGCAGGAGGAUUGCAAGUCCAGGGCAAGCCUCAGCAACUUAGUGAAGCCCUAAGCAACUUAGCAAGACCCUGUCUCAA
rnacentral:sRNA from 1 species